rnacentral:rRNA from 1 species
UACGUAGGGGGCGAGCGUUGUCCGGAUUUAUUGGGCGUAAAGCGCGUGUAGGCGGCCAGAUAGGUCCGUUGUGAAAACUGGAGGCUUAACCUCCAGCUGUCGAUGGAAACCAUCUGGCUAGAGUCCGGAAGAGGAGAGUGGAAUUCCUGGUGUAGCGGUGAAAUGCGCAGAUAUCAGGAAGAACACCCGUGGCGAAGGCGGCUCUCUGGGACGGUACUGACGCUGAGACGCGAAAGCGUGGGGAGCGAACAGG